AUGUAAAAAAACCUGACAUCAAAGUAGAUUUUUACUAGAAGGCAGGCAAUAUUAUCUAUUUUUGAUUUUGAAAUAUAAUUUAUUAAAGAAAAAGACAACUCUCUUCUUGAUUUCCUCUCAUCAAAAUUUUUGCAGGAAAUUCCAAAUGCCUCCAAAGAAAACUAGUCCGCCCUCUAUUCCUAAACAAACUAAAGCAGAUUAUGCACAAUCCUCGCAAAAACCUUUCAUUAUCUCUCCAAAGCCUAAACACUUAACUUGGUACGAGGUGG
rnacentral:lncRNA from 1 species